rnacentral:snRNA from 1 species
GAAUUUUCUGUAAAUAAAACUAA